rnacentral:rRNA from 1 species
GACGAACGCUGGCGGCGUGCUUAGCACAUGCAAGUCGAACGCUGAAGCUCAGCUUGCUGGGUGGAUGAGUGGCGAACGGGUGAGUAACACGUGAGUAACCUGCCCCCUUCUUUGGGAUAACGCCCGGAAACGGGUGCUAAUACUGGAUAUUCACUGAUCUUCGCAUGGGGGUUGGUGGAAAGGUUUGUUCUGGUGGGGGAUGGGCUCGCGGCCUAUCAGCUUGUUGGUGGGGUGAUGGCCUACCAAGGCUUUGACGGGUAGCCGGCCUGAGAGGGUGACCGGUCACAUUGGGACUGAGAUACGGCCCAGACUCCUACGGGAGGCAGCAGUGGGGAAUAUUGCACAAUGGGCGCAAGCCUGAUGCAGCGACGCCGCGUGAGGGAUGGAGGCCUUCGGGUUGUAAACCUCUUUCGCUCAUGGUCAAGCCGCAACAGUGGUUGUGGUGAGGGUAGUGGGUAAAGAAGCGCCGGCUAACUACGUGCCAGCAGCCGCGGUAAUACGUAGGGCGCGAGCGUUGUCCGGAAUUAUUGGGCGUAAAGGGCUUGUAGGCGGUUGGUCGCGUCUGCCGUGAAAUCCUCUGGCUUAACUGGGGGCGUGCGGUGGGUACGGGCUGACUUGAGUGCGGUAGGGGAGACUGGAACUCCUGGUGUAGCGGUGGAAUGCGCAGAUAUCAGGAAGAACACCGGUGGCGAAGGCGGGUCUCUGGGCCGUUACUGACGCUGAGGAGCGAAAGCGUGGGGAGCGAACAGG